rnacentral:lncRNA from 1 species
GUUUGACCACCUGGUUUCAAAUAAAAAAGCCUCUUUCAUGUAGUGUCACUGGUUUCCACACUAGUACGAGGACAUAUUGAGAGCAACUGAAGAAUCUCAGCUCUUUGGGUGAAGGGAUGAAAAGGUUAUUCCUUGAAUUGAUGAUUGCAUGAACAAGAGAAAUAUAUGGAAGCAAAAAGAAGACAUAUCUAGAUAACCCCAAGCUAACAGUAACCCAGGGUGGUCCAGCCGUACUGUUCAAGGUGUUGUCUUCUGGAGAUAGUAAAAGAUAUCCUCCAAACGACUCAGCUUCCUGCAUAUUGUACUGGGACUGCAUUUAUAAGCCCUACCUUCUGCAAAUCUUAUUAACUCAUGUGCAAUGCUAUCUGACAUGACUGUGUUAGUUUGAUUCGUCUAUUAGACCAGUUUCUACUAUUUGUGAUCCCUCUGCAACAUAUUCCUUUGGGUGGCAUAGAAGGAAAAGGAGCAGAAAACUAAAAAUAUACUUGAACAAACAGCUGGCUUCACAACCCUGAAAAGUACUUGAGAGAGUACUCAUGGGGAGGUAACUUAGAAGGACAUUGAUGUGGUGAAUAACUGUGGUUUUUCUCCUCAGGAAAAGAGGGUCAAUCCACUCCUUGUAAAUGUACAAAAUCAUUUGAAAGAAGUAUUGAUUCAUACACCAGUUUCUCCUCCCCUUUGAAGUAAUCCCAGCACCCUGAACUUUGAUCAGUUUUUCAAGUCCAAAAGGAUAACAAGAGCAGAAUUUUUGACCAAUAGUCCAAGAUACUUUAUAAGAUUUCUCCUGAGGGUUGGAAACCAAGAAAUUAUAUAGCUCAGUAGCAGCUAGUAGACAUGUUGCACUUUCGUCUUCUGAAAUAGAAAAUGAUUGAAGUCUCACAUAUAACCCAUGGCAAGCUCCACGUAGAUGUCGAACAUGAAAGAGCAGGCAGCAAGGUUCAGGAGGCUGAGAACAAACAUGAAGAGACGAGGAUCUGAAAGGCCAUGAAGAGUGAACUAUCUUGAAAAUGAGACAGUUAAACCCGUGUUACGCUGAGUAAGUUCCAGUUUCUUAUUUUAAUGCUUUGUGGGUGGAUCAACACAAAAUGUUUACUCUCUAGUCUUGGCAGGCUGUUAUCUUUCACCUAAUGAUAACUUGCUGAGGCAAUUAAAAGCUGUAUUGACAACACUGAACAAAGUCAGCAAACAUUUCCACCCCCCCACCCCCACCCCCACCCCAUAGUAAUAUUUUUUCUCUAACUAACCCAUAAUGCCAUCAUAGCAUUUGUGGAGUGAGGAGAUAUGUGGUAUGACACAAUACUGUAGUAUUGAAUCCUUUUCUUAAGCUCAAUGAAACAUAGAAAGCCACAUCCCAGGUAGACUAGAAGAUAGCUGUCAAGGCUUAUUGAAUAACUCUGAACAACUCUGUCUUUGUACCACUGUGUUUGCUAAAAUAGCCUAUUUAUCAUGAAGGACACUAUGCCCUGCACUGUCUCUUCCUUUGUGUCUCUAUCCCUUUCUUUAUAUGACCCUAUAAAAUAGCUAAGAUUUGAUCUACUAUUAGAUGUGUUAUAGUAGAAAUGAAGAGUAUGGAAUAGUUCAAUUUGUUGAAGCUUUAUUUGCUUUGUUAGAGGCAUUUUAAUGUAACGGUAUAGGGGAUUUGAUCCAAAAAAAAAAAAAAAAAAAAAGCACCUGAACCAACAGGAAAAAUCUUCAGGUCUUCAAAGGGCAGCAGGCAGCAGGUCAGUUCCCAAAGUAGGUGUGAUGAUCAGCCUCAGAUUCAGUCUUUUUGUAUAGGCAAGCAGUCACUGGUUUUCGGUUCUUUUGUGUUGAGGUGAGAUAAAGUAUUGCAGGACAAAGUGCCUUGCUCAGCUGAUAAGAAAAGUCUCAAAGAAGGAAUUUACUCUGUUC